rnacentral:lncRNA from 1 species
UUCAUUUGCCGUUUUCGUUUGAUUUUCGGGUUUGGAUUAUUUCUCAACUAUUAGUGUUUAGACAGAUAUGUAUGGUGUAAUCCAGUUUGUUGAUAUUGAUGAAAAUUUUUGUAAUUAUUUCUCCCAAAGGUUAAUGAAAACACUACGAAUAAAAACAAUGACCAGUCAUAAUAAUGGUUACGUCUUAACUUAAUCAUCAUUAUUAGCUAUUAAAUUUUGU